rnacentral:ncRNA from 1 species
CUUAUCAAGAGCGGCGGAGGAAACAGGUCCUGUGAAGCCCGGCAACCUGACUGUUUAAUUCAGACAAGGUGCUAAAUCCUGCGGUUUAUCCGGAAGAUGAGG